UAGGCCCGGCCCGGCCUGUGGUUACCCCUACUUGAGACUGGUCAUACUCACACUUAAGUUAACAUAACACAUACUAACCUUAGCGGAUUGUCAAUGCCCAAUUGGCAAUCCUAUGGCUAGGAACGUUUUAGGAAUGAACAUAAGAUAAAGGUCUCGUUAAUCUAACUUACUUAGAUCACUUCUCUCUUAGAUGAAAUACAUUCCUUGGAUUCCCUUAUUGCUUAAACACAUAAUACAAUAAAUAGUGAUUAACAAUAAGAUUUGCUCGUCAUUAAACAUAUAAUAGUUUAGCACAAUAAGUAUUCCAAAAGCUAUUACAUCAAAUGAGUGGCUUUGUGGGCAUACUUCCAACACAGACUACAUUGUUCAUAUUGAAGAUCUUAACUUAGAAACAGGGCAAAAUAUUGCACAAAUAUUUGUUAUCUUAUUCCUCACAGGUUAAUUUGAGAAUAAGGCAGCCGUCUCAAGUCUGAUAAAUGCACGAAUAAGCUUGGAGCAGAGGAUUCCUCAUGGGUCUAAAUGUUUGCAUUCCUGGUACCAAGUAAGGUGGUACUCCAGCUAUCGUGAUGAGAAUCUUUUGUGGAUGCCAAGUUUAGGAGGUAAUAUUUCUCCGAAUCAAUAUUACCAAGGGGAUUUUUCACUAACAACUCUGUCUCGAGCGUACAAACUUACUCACAUUCUGCUCUGCUGCUUAUUCUAUUCCUUAAGUUUGUUUACUUUGGAAACAUUUAUUGGACUGGGAAUUUCACACAAAGAAGAUGUAUGAUAGAGAAAAAUCUUUAUGCAAGAACAUAUCUAUUAUUCGAAGUCUCAAAGAAAAUUAACUCAGUACAGUAGUUUGGGGAAAACAAUCCCUCACCUUUGGCGAUGAAAUAUUUGAAACAAACUACAUGAGACUCUUGAUCAACGUCAUCGGGUGUUGUUACCAGAUCAAUGAUCUGCUAACCCCACCUAGUUGCAUACCUCGUAUGAUACUACAUUGAAGGCAUAUGUUCUGAUGAAGAUCCGCCACCAUCGUUGACAGUACAUGAAGGAUAUGGAAAAGCGUGGACAAAAAGAAUUCACAAGGAAACCUCAUCAUCUUGAAAUGACUAGACGCCAGUACAUGUAAUGCACAUGGUGUCCAGCGAGAAGAGAAUGGGUGAUGGGGUAUCCCAGUGAGAUUUUAAACAUUCAGGCCACAUGAGUGACAUAUAGGCAAGUGUUUGAACAAAGGACCACCACCAUCACCAUCAACAAGCAUCAACCGAGGCAUAAAGUGGCGAUAGAGGGGCCUUUUUGGAUCUCCAUGCUUUGUGCAGAUCCAACCCUUCCAUAAUACCCAUAUGGAAGACUUACAAAGGGAUGAAUGUUAUAGAACAAGUUGCAAGAAGCGUGGAAAAUUAUAGAGCGAGUUGCAGGGAGAAGGAAACUAUUUUGGAAGUUUAUGGUAAGCAAUGAUAUUUUCUAAGAUUGCAUCCUUUCUCAGCAAAAGACCCAGAAAAGGAUCAGAUUUAGGUAAGGAAGACACAGGCAUCGUGGUAGAAACGAGAAGGGUUUGAAGGAAACUGCUACUUGAUAAGGCUAUUUAAAUGGAAAUUGCUAGGAAAUCUCACCGUUAGAAGCUAAUGGACGCGUAUCUUGAGGAUGAUAUGUUGGAAGUAAGCCCACAAAGCCACUCAUUUGAUGUAAUAGCUUUUGGAAUACUUAUUGUAUUAAACUUUUAUAUGUUUAAUGAAGGGUAAAGCUUAUUGUUAAUCACUAUUUAUUGUAUCAUGUGUUUAAGCAAUAAGGGAAUCCAAGGAAUGUAUUUGAUCUAAGAGAUAAGUGAUUUAAGUAGGUUAGAUUAGAGACCUUUCUCUUAUGUUCAGUCCUAAAACGUUCCUAGCCAUAGGAUUGCCAAUUGGGCAUUGACAAUCCGCUAAGGUUAGUAUGUGUUAUGUCGACUCAAGGGUGAGUAUGAUUAGUCUCAUGUCAUUUAGUGUUUGACACUAAGGCAAACACAUAGGUGCUCGAAAGAGUGAUCGAGUACACUGAACAACGAUCAAAAGAGAGUUC
rnacentral:lncRNA from 1 species